rnacentral:rRNA from 1 species
AGAAUCAACGCUGGCGGCGUGCCUAACACAUGCAAGUCGAACGAGAAAGUGGAGCAAUCCAUGAGUAAAGUGGCGACCGGGUGAGUAACACGUGACUAACCUACCUUCGAGUGGGGGGUAACCUCGGGAAACCGAGGCUAAUACCGCAUAACAUCGCAAGAUCGAAGCAGCAAUGCGCUGGAAGAGGGGGUCGCGGCUGAUUAGCUAGUUGGCGGGGUAAUGGCCCACCAAGGCGAAGAUCGGUA